rnacentral:lncRNA from 1 species
GUGGGGCAUGCUAGCUGAAGUGUGACUGAGGAGUUUGGUCUCUAGUGGAGCUGGUUUGAAUGGGUUUUGACUGAUGUUUAGUUUGUAGGAGUAAACUUAGCUAGAAUUGAAGGUACUUAAUGGAGUGAUCUCAGGAUGGAACUUUGUCUAGCAUGCGUGGCUAUGCAAGGACUACAAUAAUGCCAAGUUUGAGCUCAAGAAGAGGAGGGUAUCUAGUACUUGUUGUACAAAGCUACAAUUCAGCCCGAAAUCAACUUUCAGAUGUGCUGCUCAUUUUUCCUACAUGAGCAUGCUAUAUUUCGAUAUGAAAUGGUGCAUUAGCAUGCUAGAGAUGCCCUGGAAGAUUGCGGGGGCUUUGUCUUAAGCAGAAGUAUAGGAAG